AGUGAACGCUGGCGGUAGGCCUAACACAUGCAAGUCGAACGGCAGCACAGUAAGAGCUUGCUCUUACGGGUGGCGAGUGGCGGACGAGUGAGGAAUACAUCGGAAUCUACUUUUUCGUGGGGGAUAACGUAGGGAAACUUACGCUAAUACCGCAUACGACCUACGGGUGAAAGCAGGGGAUCUUCGGACCUUGCGCGAUUGAAUGAGCCGAUGUCGGAUUAGCUAGUUGGCGGGGUAAAGGCCCACCAAGGCGACGAUCCGUAGCUGGUCUGAGAGGAUGGUCAGCCACACUGGAACUGAGACACGGUCCAGACUCCUACGGGAGGCAGCAGUAGGGAAUAUUGGACAAUGGGCGCAAGCCUGAUCCAGCCAUACCGCGUGGGUGAAGAAGGCCUUCGGGUUGUAAAGCCCUUUUGUUGGGAAAGAAAAGCAGCAGGUUAAUACCCCGCUGUUCUGACGGUACCCAAAGAAUAAGCACCGGCUAACUUCGUG
rnacentral:rRNA from 1 species